ACUCCUACGGNAGGCAGCAGUGGGGAAUCUUGGACAAUGGGCGCAAGCCUGAUCCAGCCAUGCCGCGUGAGUGAUGAAGGCCUUAGGGUCGUAAAGCUCUUUCGCCAGGGAUGAUAAUGACAGUACCUGGUAAAGAAACCCCGGCUAACUCC
rnacentral:rRNA from 1 species